rnacentral:lncRNA from 1 species
UAAUAAUAAAAAGGGAUAACUUCAAAAACCCUCUUGUGGUUUCACACUUUCUCACUAUAGUACUCUGUAAUUUAUAUUGUAUCAAUUUGCCCCCCUAUGGUUUUGUUUUUAUCUUUUCUAUAGUUUUUUUUUAAUAUUUCGUUAAAUUAUAUACAAAAAAACUUCAGAUAACCAUCUAAAUUUAUCGAAUAUUUACUUUUGUACCCUUUAAUUUUAAUUUUGUUACUGAUUUAAGAAAAAAAAAUAAAAUUGAUAAAAAAAAGAGAAAAACGAAACGGCAAAUUGAUACCGUUUAAAUCAUAGGGUACUAAAGUGAGAAAGUACGAAACUACAGGGGGAUUUUUAAAGU